AUGAAUAAUAUUCAAUGGUUUGUGACUUCCAAUAUGGUAUCAGCUUGACAUCUUUCCUUCUCCUCCACCACGUGUGGCUUUCUCCUUCCUCCUUUCACCGCUUUACCAAUUCUUAUCUUCUCCCAACACGUCUCUUCUUUUAUUUGCUUCUUUCCAAAAAUUGACAGAUUCUCUUUCUCCAUCCGAUACGCAACAUCCUUUUCCCUUCGCUCAUUUGCAGAUUUCGUUUUUCUUUCUUCUUGAAAUUCUCUCUUCCUAUUCAAGAACUUACUUCUCUUUCCCUGAAACCCUAAUUUUCCUUCCCCACAUCUCCUCUAUUUUCAUGGCCGCCGCCGCUCCCUUUUUCAAUUUCGUCACCAAUCCCUCCAACCCCUACUAUCUCCACCCUAACGAAAAUCCCUCCCUUGUCCUCGUCACUCCCCUUCUUGAUCAUGACAACUACAACUCAUGGUUAAGAGCCGUGAAAGUUUCCCUUAUCUCCAAAAGUAAACUGCGCUUCAUUGAUAGCACUUUUGCUCAACCCACCGCCGACACCACUCUUUUCGAUCCCUGA